GUGUCAGCAGCCGCGGUAAUACGUAGGCAGCGAGCGUUGUUCGGAAUUAUUGGGCGUAAAGGGUGCGUAGGCGGUCCUCCAAGUUCGGUGUGAAAUCUCCCGGCUCAACCGGGAGGGUGCGCCGAAAACUGGGGGGCUAGAGUGCGGGAAGGGAGAGUGGAAUUCCUGGUGUAGCGGUGAAAUGCGUAGAUAUCAGGAGGAACACCGGUGGUGAAGACGGCUCUCUGGACCGUAACUGACGCUGAGGCACGAAAGCGUGGGUAGCAAACAGGAUUAGAUACCCGUGUAGUCC
rnacentral:rRNA from 1 species